CCCUGUUUGAUAAAUAAUUGUGGUUUGCAGAUUCCCAUGAUGGCCCAAUCCUGAGUUAUUCUGAGGCUUCUGGUCCUGCUUCAGAAUAAGUUGUUAGGCCCAUUUAUAAGCCCAGGGCUGGAUUUAGUGAAACCAGAGUAUAACCAAGGAAACAGCAGUGUCAUUUCUCCUUGUCAGCCACCCCAGUGAGGGAGUUCUCAUCAGCUCAAGUGGCAACAAAUGCAGGUGCUCCUCUGCUUUUUCUGUGGAGGCCGUGUGAGUUAAGCAGCCACCCCCCAUGAAUAAUGUCCAGGGCCAGGUCAAAAGCUUCCCAGAGCAAGGGACCCGUUUGCACACAACCCAAGCGAUGACGAGGAACGAACAGUACUUAAUAAA